CAACCUGCUUUAAGAUCUGCCAACCUGCUCUAAGAUCUGCCAACCUGCUUUAAGAUCUGCCAACCUGCUUUAAGAUCUGCCAACCUGCUCUAAGAUCUGCCAACCUGCUCUAAGAUCUGCCAACCUGCUUUAAGAUCUGCCAACCUGCUUUAAGAUCUGCCAACCUGCUCUAAGAUCUGCCAACCUGCUUUAAGAUCUGCCAACCUGCUUUAAGAUCUGCCAACCUGCUUUAAGAUCUGCCAACCUGCUUUAAGAUCUGCCAACCUGCUCUAAGAUCUGCCAACCUGCUUUAAGAUCUGCCAACCUGCUUUAAGAUCUGCCAACCUGCUUUAAGAUCUGCCAACCUGCUCGUGGGUGACAGGUAACCGUGUUUCCACCAAGCUGUUCGUGGCCUGGAGUGGCACGCUGGAACUUCCAGAGGCUUGGAGACCUGAAGCGUGAUGUGGUCCAGCUCAACCACAGUCCUCACAGCUGCAUUCAUCAGCCCCUGCACCUGCUACACCGGCUGUGACAGAUCUGCCACCCCCAGCAGUUCAUCUGCAGUCACAGCAGUCCUCUGCUGUGGUAUUUAAUUUACCGGCUGCACCAGGUCCUACUACACGGGCCGUGAAGGGAGAAACUAUUGAGGAGACCCAGAUGGAUACAGAUCGGCCAUGCUCUCCACCACUGCCCGACAGCCUCACACAGAAGUGCAUACAUGGGGCCUAUCAAGACUGACAAAGCAGAGAUGGGUGGCUGACAAUGACACAUAAAACAUGCACACACACGCUCUCUCUCUGUGUCUGUCUCCCACACACACACACACACAUUAUCCCCAAUAUAAAUAAAUUGUAAUAACUUGUUUAUUUAAUGAAUCUUCCAUUUUAUUUUAGGAUUGGAGAUAUCUACUGUAUGAAUACAUUUCCAUUAUCAAUAUCUACAUGAUUACUCUAAAUAUCUACCAAAUCAAAGUGACAUUGAUAAUAUUGUAAAACAGUAUUGCUUAAUGUGUACAGUUAUUUUAUGUAUGCUACAUUUUAUUUGAGGAUUAUGUGCAAUAAAUUACAUUCACAGUUAGAGCAACAUUGGGGAGGAUUGGAUAUUUCUCCGAUUUUUUAAAUGAAUGAUCAAAAGGAAGUCGGGAGACCUCUGGGAGUGUGUGCAGAUUUUGUCAUCUGGCACUGAAACAGGGCCCCGACAGCCCUCACAUACCGUGCCUUCGGAAAUUAUUCAGACCCCUUGACUUUUCCCACAUUUUGUUAUGUUACAGCCUUAUUCUAAAAAUGGAUUUUUUUAAAUGUCAGCAAUGUCGUGGAAAUUUCCUGUAUUACCAACUCAUGAGAGAGCAAGCCACACACAAGUCAGUUAUCAUAAAGUCCAUCUUUAAUUAUAUGAGCUUCAACAUAGCCCUGUGACUCUCAGAACAAUUCAGUGUCCAUAAAUGAAUUCUCUGAGAGUGCUUACAAAUAGCCAAGACACACCCAUCAAAACUCACAUGACAAAUAACAGAUCUUAGGAACAUCAUACAAAGAACCUUUUACCAGAAAAAAAAGUAUCCUAUAGCCAGACAGCAUUAGCUAUAACAUUAUCCUUCAGUUUGCCCUCUUAGACAAAGUUCUUAGCUCAUUCAUGGUACCAUUUAGGACCAAAACAUUACCUCAUCCAAUGGCAUAUAUCAAUUGUCAAUUUCUACAACCCCUCCUGGACAAGCUUACAGAGAGAAGUGACUGGCACACAGACAUUGUGGAGCCACCUAACUGGUUCCCCAUUAAUCACACCAUCCCUUCACAUGGUUUAGGAAUAGUUUCCAGACACAUUCACAGAUAAGACUAACCCGACCUCUCCCCUCUCUGGGCCCAAGUAACUUUUUCCACAUAAGCAUACUUAUGAAAAUUAAUAAAACAUCUUAUUUAUCAAUGUUACCUAAAGGAUUCUGAUUCUGCUACCACAG